rnacentral:rRNA from 1 species
CCUACGGGGUGCUGCAGUGGGGGAUAUUGCACAAUGGGGGGAACCCUGAUGCAGCGACGCCGCGUGGGUGAAGGAGCGUUUCGGCGCGUAAAGCCCUAUCGGCAGGGAAGAAGGAGGACGGUACCUGACUAAGAAGCACCGGCUAACUACGGGCCAGAAGCCGCGGUAAUACGUAGGGGGCCAGCGUUAUUCGGAUUUACUGGGGGUAAAGGGGGCGCAGGCGGCGGCGCAAGCCAGGAGUGAAAGCCCGGGGCCCAACCCCGGGACUGCCCUUGGAACUGGGCGGCUGGAGUGCAGGAGGGGCAGGCGGAAUUCCAGGUGUAGCGGUGAAAUGCGUAGAUAUCAGGAGGAACACCGGUGGCGAAGGCGGCCUGCUGGGCUGCGACUGACGUUGAGGCCCGAAAGCGUGGGGAGCAAACAGGAUUAGAUACCCUUGUAGUC